GGGUUAGUAGGUUGGUCAUGCCUCUGGUAUGUACUGAUCUCACUGAUUCCUCCCUCUUGACAAACUGUAAUGUCAUUAAUUUGGUGUUGCAGGAAAUCAGGACUGUUACUUUGAAAAAAUUAGAGUGUUCAAAGCAGGCCUUUGCUCGAAUACAUUAGCAUGGAAUAAUAGAAUAGGACAUCGGUUCUAUUUUGUUGGUUUCUAAGACCGCUGUA
rnacentral:rRNA from 1 species